rnacentral:rRNA from 1 species
UUGAAAAAUUUUUAUUUAAAAAGAAAAAUUUAUUUUUUGUACCUUGUGUAUCAGGGUUUAUUAAAUAAUUAAUAAUUAUAGAUAUUGAUCUCGAUUUUAUAAGAGUUAAUAAUUUAAUUAAAGUUAAUGUUUCAUAAUUAUUUUAAAUAAAUUAUUAGAGAUGAAAUGUUAUUCGGUUAUAAAAGUAUCUAGUUUUUUUAGAAAUAAAUUUAAUUUAAAAAUUUUUAAUUUUUUAUUUUAUUAUUUUAAUAAUAAAUAAAUUUUCGAAUUUAAAUAUUUUAAGGGAUAAGCUUUAAAAUAAAAUUAUUAAAAUUUAAUUAAUAAAAAUAUUUAAAAUAUAUGCAUAGAAUUAGCAAUUAUUAUUAAUUUUGUUAUAAAUUAUUUAUAAAAUAAUAUUAUUUAUUAAUAUUUUAAUUUUUUUUAUAAAAAUAUUUUUUUUAAUUUGAGAUAAAAAGAAAUAAUGAUAAAAUUAGUAUAUAAUAAUAUGUAAAAAUAAUUUAAUUUGAUAAUUUUAAAUAAAGAACUCGGCAAAUAUUUUACUCGCCUGUUUAACAAAAACAUGUCUUUUUGAGUUAAUUUUAAAGUCUAGCCUGCCCAAUGAAAUAGUUUAAUGGCCGCAGUAAUUUGACUGUGCAAAGGUAGCAUAAUAAUUAGUCUUUUAAUUGAAGGCUUGUAUGAAUGGUUGGACGAAGUAUAAUCUGUUUCAUUUAAAUUUAUUAUAGAAUUUUAUAUUUUAGUAAAAAAGCUAAAAUUUUUUUAAAAGACGAGAAGACCCUAUAAAUCUUUAUAAUUUACAUUAUUUUUAUUUUUUGGAUUUAAUUUAUUUUAAUAAUUUAAAUUAUUUUAUUGGGGUGAUAUUAAAAUUUAAUUAACUUUUAAUUUAUUUUAACAUUAAUUUAUGAUUUAUUGAUCCAUUAAUAAUGAUUAUAAGAAUAAGUUACUUUAGGGAUAACAGCGUAAUUUUUUUAGAGAGUUCUUAUUGAUAAAAAAGUUUGCGACCUCGAUGUUGGAUUAAGAUAUAAUUUUAGGUGUA